rnacentral:rRNA from 1 species
GUGAGGAAUAUUGCGCAAUGGAGGCAACUCUGACGCAGCCAUGCCGCGUGCAGGAAGAAGGCGCUACGCGUUGUAAACUGCUUUUAACCGGGAAGAAACCCCAGGACGUGUCCUGGGUUGACGGUACCGGAGGAAUAAGCACCGGCUAACUUCGUGCCAGCAGCCGCGGUAAUACGAAGGGUGCAAGCGUUAUCUGGAUUCAUUGGGUUUAAAGGGUGCGUAGGCGGAGCGUUAAGUCAGUGGUGAAAUCCUGCAGCUUAACUGUAGACUUGCCAUUGAUACUGGCGCUCUUGAGUGCGCUUGAAGUGGGCGGAAUGUGCCGUGUAGCGGUGAAAUGCUUAGAUAUGGCACAGAACACCAAUUGCGAAGGCAGCUCACUAAGGCGAUACUGACGCUGAGGCACGAAAGCGUGGGGAUCGAACAGGAUUAGAUACCCUUGUAGUCC